rnacentral:misc_RNA from 1 species
GAUGAAGAACGCAGCGAAAUGCGAUAAGUAAUGUGAAUUGCAGAAUUCAGUGAAUCAUCGAAUCUUUGAACGCACAUUGCGCCCGCCAGUAUUCUGGCGGGCAUGCCUGUUCGAGCGUCAUUUCAACCAUCAAGCCCUGCUUGCGUUGGGGUCCUGCGGCUGCCCGCAGGCCCUGAAAACCAGUGGCGGGCUCGCUAGUCACACCGAGCGCAGUAAUACAUCUCGCUUUGGGCGUGCGGCGGGUUCUUGCCGUUAAACACCCCCUUUUUACCAAGGUUGACCUCGGAUCAGGUAGGAAUACCCGCUGAACUUAAGCAUAUCAAUAAGCGGAGG